rnacentral:rRNA from 1 species
UUAAGCGACUAAGCGUACACGGUGGAUGCCCUGGCAGUCAGAGGCGAUGAAGGACGUGCUAAUCUGCGAAAAGCGUCGGUAAGGUGAUAUGAACCGUUAUAACCGGCGAUGUCCGAAUGGGGAAACCCAGUGUGAUUCGUCACACUAUCGUUAACUGAAUACAUAGGUUAACGAGGCGAACCGGGGGAACUGAAACAUCUAAGUACCCCGAGGAAAAGAAAUCAACCGAGAUUCCCCCAGUAGCGGCGAGCGAACGGGGAGCAGCCCAGAGUCUGAAUCAGCUUGUGUGUUAGUGGAACGGUCUGGAAAGUCCGACGGUACAGGGUGAUAGUCCCGUACACCAAAAUGCACAGGUUGUGAACUCGAAGAGUAGGGCGGGACACGUGGUAUCCUGUCUGAAUAUGGGGGGACCAUCCUCCAAGGCUAAAUACUCCUGACUGACCGAUAGUGAACCAGUACCGUGAGGGAAAGGCGAAAAGAACCCCGGCGAGGGGAGUGAAAAAGAACCUGAAACCGUGUACGUACAAGCAGUGGGAGCACCUUUAUGGUGUGACUGCGUACCUUUUGUAUAAUGGGUCAGCGACUUAUAUUCUGUAGCAAGGUUAACCGUAUAGGGGAGCCGCAGGGAAACCGAGUCUUAACUGGGCGUUAAGUUGCAGGGUAUAGACCCGAAACCCGGUGAUCUAGCCAUGGGCAGGUUGAAGGUUGGGUAACACUAACUGGAGGACCGAACCGACUAAUGUUGAAAAAUUAGCGGAUGACUUGUGGCUGGGGGUGAAAGGCCAAUCAAACCGGGAGAUAGCUGGUUCUCCCCGAAAGCUAUUUAGGUAGCGCCUCGUGAACUCAUCGACUUACCAACCCGAUGCAAACUACGAAUACCGCAUCCCGACUUACCAACCCGAUGCAAACUACGAAUACCGAAGAAUGUUAUCACGGGAGACACACGGCGGGUGCUAACGUCCGUCGUGAAGAGGGAAACAACCCAGACCGCCAGCUAAGGUCCCAAAGUCAUGGUUAAGUGGGAAACGAUGUGGGAAGGCACAGACAGCCAGGAUGUUGGCUUAGAAGCAGCCAUCAUUUAAAGAAAGCGUAAUAGCUCACUGGUCGAGUCGGCCUGCGCGGAAGAUGUAACGGGGCUAAACCAUGCACCGAAGCUGCGGCAGCGACGCUUAGGCGUUGUUGGGUAGGGGAGCGUUCUGUAAGCCUGCGAAGGUGACCUGUGAGGGUUGCUGGAGGUAUCAGAAGUGCGAAUGCUGACAUAAGUAACGAUAAAGCGGGUGAAAAGCCCGCUCGCCGGAAGACCAAGGGUUCCUGUCCAACGUUAAUCGGGGCAGGGUGAGUCGACCCCUAAGGCGAGGCCGAAAGGCGUAGUCGAUGGGAAACAGGUUAAUAUUCCUGUACUUGGUGUUACUGCGAAGGGGGGACGGAGAAGGCUAUGUUAGCCGGGCGACGGUUGUCCCGGUUUAAGCAUGUAGGCUGGUUAUCCAGGCAAAUCCGGAUAAUCAAGGCUGAGGUGUGAUGACGAGGUACUACGGUACUGAAGUAACAAAUGCCCUGCUUCCAGGAAAAGCCUCUAAGCAUCAGGUAACAUCAAAUCGUACCCCAAACCGACACAGGUGGUCAGGUAGAGAAUACCAAGGCGCUUGAGAGAACUCGGGUGAAGGAACUAGGCAAAAUGGUGCCGUAACUUCGGGAGAAGGCACGCUGGUGUGUAGGUGAAGUCCCUGCGGAUGGAGCUGAGACCAGUCGAAGAUACCAGCUGGCUGCAACUGUUUAUUAAAAACACAGCACUGUGCAAACACGAAAGUGGACGUAUACGGUGUGACGCCUGCCCGGUGCCGGAAGGUUAAUUGAUGGGGUUAUCCGUAAGGAGAAGCUCUUGAUCGAAGCCCCGGUAAACGGCGGCCGUAACUAUAACGGUCCUAAGGUAGCGAAAUUCCUUGUCGGGUAAGUUCCGACCUGCACGAAUGGCGUAAUGAUGGCCAGGCUGUCUCCACCCGAGACUCAGUGAAAUUGAACUCGCUGUGAAGAUGCAGUGUACCCGCGGCAAGACGGAAAGACCCCGUGAACCUUUACUAUAGCUUGACACUGAACAUUGAGCCUUGAUGUGUAGGAUAGGUGGGAGGCUUUGAAGCGUGGACGCCAGUCUGCGUGGAGCCAACCUUGAAAUACCACCCUUUAAUGUUUGAUGUUCUAACGUGGGCCCCUUAUCGGGGUUGCGGACAGUGUCUGGUGGGUAGUUUGACUGGGGCGGUCUCCUCCCAAAGCGUAACGGAGGAGCACGAAGGUUAGCUAAUCCUGGUCGGACAUCAGGAGGUUAGUGCAAUGGCAUAAGCUAGCUUGACUGCGAGCGUGACGGCGCGAGCAGGUGCGAAAGCAGGUCAUAGUGAUCCGGUGGUUCUGAAUGGAAGGGCCAUCGCUCAACGGAUAAAAGGUACUCCGGGGAUAACAGGCUGAUACCGCCCAAGAGUUCAUAUCGACGGCGGUGUUUGGCACCUCGAUGUCGGCUCAUCACAUCCUGGGGCUGAAGUAGGUCCCAAGGGUAUGGCUGUUCGCCAUUUAAAGUGGUACGCGAGCUGGGUUUAGAACGUCGUGAGACAGUUCGGUCCCUAUCUGCCGUGGGCGCUGGAGAAUUGAGGGGGGCUGCUCCUAGUACGAGAGGACCGGAGUGGACGCAUCACUGGUGUUCGGGUUGUCAUGCCAAUGGCACUGCCCGGUAGCUAAAUGCGGAAGAGAUAAGUGCUGAAAGCAUCUAAGCACGAAACUUGCCCCGAGAUGAGUUCUCCCUGAGACUAUAAGUCUCCUGAAGGAACGUUGAAGACGACGACGUUGAUAGGCCGGGUGUGUAAGCGCAGCGAUGCGUUGAGCUAACCGGUACUAAUGAACCGUGAGGCUUAACCU